UACAUGGGGUGCAAACGUUGCUCGGAAUUAUUGGGCGUAAAGCGCACGUAGGCGGUUCGUUAAGUCGGAUGUGAAAGCCCUCGGCUCAACUGAGGAAGUGCACCCGAAACUGGCGAGCUUGAGUACGAAAGAGGAUCGCGGAAUUCCCGGUGUAGAGGUGAAAUUCGUAGAUAUUGGGAGGAACACCAGUGGCGAAGGCGGCUCACUGGACCGGUACUGACGCUGAGGCGCGAAAGCGUGGGGAGCAAACGGG
rnacentral:rRNA from 1 species